UUUUACGGGAUAGAGGCCCGUCAGCCUAGU
rnacentral:tRNA from 1 species